UACGAGGGGGGCAAAUGUUGUUCGGAAUCACUGGGCGUAAAGGGAGCGUAGGCGGGCUUCUAAGUUAGGUGUUUAAUCCCGGGGCCCAACCCCGGUCGUGCACCUAAAACUGGGAGUCUUGAAUAGGGGAGAGGUCAGUGGAAUUGGAGGUGUAGCGGUGGAAUGCGUAGAGAUCUCCAAGAACACCAGUUGCGAAGGCGGCUGACUGGACCCAUAUUGACGCUGAGGCUCGAAAGCAUGGGGAGCAAACAGG
rnacentral:rRNA from 1 species